rnacentral:rRNA from 2 species
CCCGCACAAGCGGUGGAGCAUGUGGUUUAAUUCGACGCAACGCGAAGAACCUUACCAGGGCUUGACAUCCCCUGACCGCGUAUGAAAGUACGUUUUCACCCUCGGGUGACAGGGAGACAGGUGGUGCAUGGUUGUCGUCAGCUCGUGUCGUGAGAUGUUGGGUUAAGUCCCGCAACGAGCGCAACCCCUACGUUUAGUUGCUAACGCGUGAAGGCGAGCACUCUAGACGAACUGCCGUUGACAAAACGGAGGAAGGUGGGGAUGACGUCAAAUCAUCAUGCCCCUUAUGUUCUGGGCUACACACGUGCUACAAUGGCCGGUACAGACGGACGCAAAGCCGCGAGGUGGAGCAAAUCCUAAAAAGCCGGUCUCAGUUCGGAUUGCAGGCUGCAAUUCGCCUGCAUGAAGUCGGAAUCGCUAGUAAUCGCAGGUCAGCAUACUGCGGUGAAUACGUUCCCGGGCCUU